GAAAAAUUCCUUAGUCUGCCACUAUCAAAUUUGAAAAAUCUUAAGAUCUAGCUUUCUUCUGAGAUGAAAAUUGGUUAAGUAAAAGUAUCGCUCAUCAGCUAUUGCUAAUGAAGUCGGAAGCUGGAAGUGGCUUUGUUUGGCGAUCCUAGCUAUUUGCUCCAAGCUGACCGGCAUUUACGCAGAACAUUCUGAUUCUUGGUGGAAACAAUGAGGUGCCGCCGGAACUCAAAUUAAUGACCCCUACCUCUGCUGCAUGUCGACACACACGAAAGAAGAUUUCUGUGAAAGCCAUUUCGCGGUGUGCACUUUGCAGCGCUGCAUAUGAGAACAAAAAUUGGCAUCUCGCAAGGUCAAGCCAUUCCGGGACAGGUCAACUGCGAAUCGAUAAUAUUCUCCAAAUGGUUCUCCUGGCGUUAGACAUGUAAAUAUGAUGCCCAUACGGAGUGGUUUAAGUAGGGAGUGGUGGAUCCUCAACAGCUGCUGUAGGAAAAUAGGAGAAACUUUGAAAGCGAGCACCGAGACGAGAACAUUGAAUUUGAGGCUCAUAUAUGGAUAAUGCUUCCAAAGAGAGAAUAAACAAAUUCAAUCUAUAUGUGUCCACCUUAUAUGU